GUAGGGUGCGAGCGUUAAUCGGAAUUACUGGGCGUAAAGCGUGCGCAGGCGGUUCGCUAAGACCGAUGUGAAAUCCCCGGGCUUAACCUGGGAACUGCAUUGGUGACUGGCGGGCUAGAGUAUGGCAGAGGGGGUAGAAUUCCACGUGUAGCAGUGAAAUGCGUAGAGAUGUGGAGGAAUACCGAUGGCGAAGGCAGCCCCCUGGGCCAAUACUGACGCUCAUGCACGAAAGCGUGGGGGGAGCAAACAGGAUUAGAUACCCUGGUAGUCCACGCCCUAAACGAUGUCAACUAGUUGUCGGGUCUUCAUUGACUUGGUAACGUAGCUAACGCGUGAAGUUGACCGCCUGGGAGUACGGUCGCAAGAUUA
rnacentral:rRNA from 1 species